AGAGUUUGAUCCUGGCUCAGAGUGAACGCUGGCGGCGUGCUUAACACAUGCAAGUCGAACGAGAACGGUACUAGCUUGCUAGUAUGUCAGCUAAGUGGCGGACGGGUGAGUAAUGUAUAGUUAAUCUGCCCCCUAGAGAGGGAUAACUACUGGAAACGGUAGCUAAUACCUCAUACUCCUUCUACCUUAAUGGUAGUUGGGAAAUGUCUUUUCGCUAGGGGAUGAGACUAUAUGGUAUCAGGUAGUUGGUGGGGUAAGAGCCCACCAAGCCGAUGACGCCUAGCUGGUCUGAGAAGAUGAUCAGCCACACUGGAACUGAGAC
rnacentral:rRNA from 1 species